rnacentral:tRNA from 3 species
GGCGGACGUGGCCAAGUGGAUUAAGGCAGUGG